rnacentral:lncRNA from 1 species
AAUCUACCAUAGUUUAAGACCACGAUGAAUAACUAACUAUUUAUACAUUAAAUGACAGAAAGCAAUUCGAAAGAUCGUUUACACAAGUUUGUUUGUUGUGUAAAUAAGAUAAAUUCCGUGUUUUCAGUUUCAAAAAAGUAGGAGGGCUAUAAAAUUUGUCCUGUCCGAAAGUACCUUUAAUGAAAAUCACGAAAUUGAUUGAAAUCAACAGAAACAAUAAUAUAACGGAAUUU